GUCUGGUCCGAUGGCAGUGGGUUAUCAGAACUUAUUAACAUUAGUGUCACUAAAGUUGGUAUACCACCCCCCCGACUGCUAAAUUUGACUGGCUUUAA
ensembl:misc_RNA Y_RNA Y RNA